rnacentral:rRNA from 1 species
GUAAUGCUUAGGAAUCUGCCUAUUAGUGGGGGACAACAUCUCGAAAGGGAUGCUAAUACCGCAUACGUCCUACGGGAGAAAGCAGGGGACCUUCGGGCCUUGCGCUAAUAGAUGAGCCUAAGUCGGAUUAGCUAGUUGGUGGGGUAAAGGCCUACCAAGGCGACGAUCUGUAGCGGGUCUGAGAGGAUGAUCCGCCACACUGGGACUGAGACACGGCCCAGACUCCUACGGGAGGCAGCAGUGGGGAAUAUUGGACAAUGGGGGGAACCCUGAUCCAGCCAUGCCGCGUGUGUGAAGAAGGCCUUUUGGUUGUAAAGCACUUUAAGCGAGGAGGAGGCUACCGAGAUUAAUACUCUUAGAUAGUGGACGUUACUCGCAGAAUAAGCACCGGCUAACUCUGUGCCAGCAGCCGCGGUAAUACAGAGGGUGCAAGCGUUAAUCGGAUUUACUGGGCGUAAAGCGCGCGUAGGUGGCCAAUUAAGUCAAAUGUGAAAUCCCCGAGCUUAACUUGGGAAUUGCAUUCGAUACUGGUUGGCUAGAGUAUGGGAGAGGAUGGUAGAAUUCCAGGUGUAGCGGUGAAAUGCGUAGAGAUCUGGAGGAAUACCGAUGGCGAAGGCAGCCAUCUGGCCUAAUACUGACACUGAGGUG